rnacentral:rRNA from 1 species
AUACGGAGGGUGCAAGCGUUAAUCGGAAUUACUGGGCGUAAAGCGCGCGUAGGCGGAUUGUUAAGUCUCAUGUGAAAGCCCUGGGCUCAACCUGGGAACUGCAUGGGAUACUGGCAAUCUAGAAUACAGUAGAGGGUAGUGGAAUUUCAGGUGUAGCGGUGAAAUGCGUAGAGACCUGAAGGAACAUCAGUGGCGAAGGCGACUACCUGGACUGAUAUUGACGCUGAGGUGCGAAAGCGUGGGGAGCAAACGGGAUUAGAUACCCUAGUAGUCC